CCAACCGGCCUUUGAGCUUGAUCCAACCGAAGUCGACAAUGGCGGCGCGCUUGCCGAUCGUGGCGAGAUUGCCCGCGUUCUUGUAUGCGAACCGCUCGCCUGGAUUACGGCCCCUCAGGCGCUCCUUGAUCCUCCGGGCAACAUAUUUCCUGCUUGGCUGCAGGCGCUACGCCAGGCACCAGCUUUCCAUCCGCCGAUUCGACAUGCGCGGCAUCGCCGAUGACAAAGAUGUCCGGAUGACCCGGCG
rnacentral:misc_RNA from 1 species